rnacentral:lncRNA from 1 species
UCUAGGAGCUUUCUGAAAGUUUGCAUCUGGCAUGUCCUUGAGAAGUUCGUGUGUGGAUCUCUUGGUCUCCAGGACAGCAGUGUUCAGAGGUGUUUUGUCAAAGGAACAGACAUUUGGCCAAUGUGCUUAGUUGUAGAGACCCAAGCCUGGGAUCAAGGUAUCAAGAGGGCUCCACUCCCACCAAGAACACAAAAGACAAGCUCUGUGCCUAUCUGGACGGCACAGGCAUCCCCUGGUUUUUGGAUGGAUCACUUCGGUCUCUCGGCAUCUUUACCUUGUCUCUUCUCAUCUCAUCUUGACCUCUUCCGUCUCCCAUCAGAAGAUUUGUGAUUGUCCCACUUGGUUAAUCACGGAUGAUCUAAUUUAGGGUUUCUACCAUUAAUUCUGUCUACAAAGAUCUCCAUUCCAAAUAAGAGCUCACAAGUUUGGAGCCUUAGUAUGUUUAUUUUGUGGGAGGAUCCGCACGCACACAGCUCACUGGAGGGAGAUGACCGGUGGCUGGUUUUCGAUAGAGGGAGGUUGGCUGUCCACGACGUCCAGCAAGUUGUGUUUGGGUGAACUGUAGAAGCAGCCCAGUGUGACUGCCGUGCUGUUGUCUCUUGUAAUGGGUUCAUACGGGAGGCUGUGAAGUAGUGGGAGGAGAAGAGGGGAAAGACUCUUCCCACUCAGUGCGCUCCAGCUUGCUUUGGAGCACACAGGUGUCAUUAAUUUAAUCCUGGAACUGUGGCUUUUUAAGGAGAAGCCAGCAUGGGAACUGUGGGCAUUCCUCUUCAGCCUGUCCCUUGGUUCCCAUAAACAUCAGCCUACAAGCCUUCAUUUUCCCUCAGCAAAUGUACAAGUGAUGGUGGGCAUGCUGCCCAGAUGUUGUGAAGGGAGCCACCGAGGGUGGUGUCAGCUGGUCUGGAAGGGUAUCCUCUCUAGGGAUGUACCAGGGGUAAGGGCACCGAGCUCUGGUCCUCAGCUGAUGCUAGGACCGAAGAAAACAAGUCCUCCAAGUGGUCUGUAUGUCAGCCCUGGUGGCCCUGGAUGGGCUGAGAGGACAAGGAGAGGAACCCCACCCCCCACUGUGCUUUCGUUUCCCCAGAACUCCGUGGGUGACCUUGCAGAUGUGCUUUGUCAACCCAGACACCUCAGUCUCUCUGCAGGACCCACAAAGGGAACCCCACUGGGCGCUCCUCUCCCCCUUCCUGUCCCACGUCUGUUUGUUACACAGUCUAUGAAGAACCUACUCAAGACGGUCCACACUGACUGCCCGAAACUGCUCCUUCCUCGCUCCCCGCUCCUGCCCUUGGUCCAUAAACUAAGAAAAUGCACUUUUCUACCCAACCUGGAGCGCAUCCGUAAGUGACAUAGAAAGUUCAGUUCAACACUAGCGAAAAUUGAAUUUAUCUCGGAAAUGCUUUAUUCUUCCAGAAGCUCACUUUGGCAAAGUCUAAUGUAUAGAAAAGCAUGAAAUACUGUGGCUCUAGCCGCAGCAACUUCUUCAGCUACGCAUUAAGCCGCAGGGUCCGAAUCCAGCCUCGCUUCCGUCAACCACUCUCUUUAACUCAAAUGCCCGUCAAUGUCCCUGCUAAAUGGGAGUCUUGUGCGCAUCGCAUCUUAUCAUAAUGUCACAAAACCCAUAGAAUUACAAAUCAGGUUUAAGGCGGAAAACAUGACAGGGAAAUAAAAGUACACAAAAAGUACAUUAAGUAUCAGUCUUCAUUUAUACUCCCCGUUCCAGCCUACCUCUCAGCUCAGCCCCACACUGCACGCAGCCCAGCUUGAGGUAGCCUAAGAUCCAUUUUAGAGUGGACUGAAAUAUAAAUGACAGUUCGCUCUGCACAUGAACAUAGACAACUGUAUAAAAUAUUUAAAUAAAGACAGGAAAGAACAGAGGAUUGCCACGAAGCCUUUGGCAGACUCAGCCUUGGGGGAAUUUAGCAGCUUGAGAUUCAUUACAAAUUUCGUCUUUAAUGUUAUUUUUAGUUCAAUAUUUUGUAGCACUCAGAAGUAAAUCUUGGUGUGCUGUCUCCUCUUCCCCUGGCUUCCUCUCCUUCGGUGUCUGAUCCUUCAGUUUUACUGAACCCUAAUACGGUUUCAAUAAAAUUGAUUUGUGACGUCGUAAUGCUGUUUGUUACGGCUCCUCUUUCUUGAUGUAAUGGGGGGAGGACUGUUGGAUGAUUCGGCAGAGUGAGGAGGAUCGCUCUUGAUUGGAGAAUAAAUUGUCAUGAAGCUAGAAACAGCCUGCUGCAGUGUGAACUCUCCGUCUCUCUGCCCCUCCUGCAGUCUCCCAUCUUGAAUUUCUGGCCCUGUGUUAUGGCCCCGAAUGCAUCAUCUGUCCCCUGUGAAG